rnacentral:rRNA from 1 species
GACGAACGCUGGCGGCGUGCUUAACACAUGCAAGUCGAACGGAAAGGCCCUGCUUUUGUGGGGUGCUCGAGUGGCGAACGGGUGAGUAACACGUGAGUAACCUGCCCUUGACUUUGGGAUAACUUCAGGAAACUGGGGCUAAUACCGGAUAGGCGCUCCUGCUGCAUGGGGGGGGUGGGAAAGUUUCGGAGGUUGGGGAGGGCCCCGAGGCUUAUCAGCUUGUGGGUGGGGUCGUGGCUUACCAGGGCUUUGACGGGUAGCCGGCCUGUGAGGGUGACCGGCCACAUUGGGCCUGGGAUCCGGCCCAGCCUCCUACGGGAGGCGGCGGUGGGGAAUAUUGCACAAGGGGCCGAGGCCUGAUGCAGCACCGCCGCGUGCGGGAUGACGGCCUUCGGGUUGUAACCCGCUUUCGCCUGUGCCGAACCGUGAGUGACGGUACUGGGUAAAGAAGCACCGGCUAACUACGUG